rnacentral:misc_RNA from 1 species
GAUGAAGAACGUAGCGAAAUGCGAUAAGUAAUGUGAAUUGCAGAAUUCAGUGAAUCAUCGAAUCUUUGAACGCACAUUGCGCCCUCUGGUAUUCCGGGGGGCAUGCCUGUUCGAGCGUCAUUACAACCCUCAAGCUUUGCUUGGUAUUGGACAUUGCCAGUUUCUGGCAGGUCUUAAAAUCAGUGGCGGUGCCAUUUGGCUUCAAGCGUAGUAAUUCUUCUCGCUUUGGAGAUCCAAGUGGUUACUUGCCAAUAACCCCCAAUUUUUUCAGGUUGACCUCGGAUCAGGUAGGGAUACCCGCUGAACUUAAGCAUAUCAAUAAGCGGAGGA